rnacentral:lncRNA from 1 species
AUUAAUGGGAUCCUUACAAGCAUAUGAAGAAAAGCAUAAGAAAAACAAGAUAUAGUGGAGCAAUUAUUCAAGAUGCAAAUAUAAGAUAAGGAAGAAAAUAUCGGAAAUGGACGAGGUCAAUAUGGAAGAGGUUGUGGUCGUGGACGAGGUCGAGGCCAUGGACGUGGACGAGGAGGUUUCAAAAACAAUGAAGAAAGAAGAGAAUACUCAAGUCGUGGGAGAGGCAACCAAGUUGCAAGGUAGGAUAAAUCGCAAAUCAAAUGUUAUUCUUGUCAAAAAUAUGGACACUAUGCUUCACAAUGUAGAGGGUAUCAAACCAAAGUCGAAGAGACCGCCAACCUUGUGGAGGAUAAGGGCCAAAAAGACGUGACCCUACUUCUAGCAUACAAAGGAGAAGAAGGGAGACAAGACNNNN